GUUUACUACUUGGCGGCGAGCGGCGGACGGCUGAGUAACGCGUGGGAACAUGCCCCAAAGUGAGGGAUAACGCACCGAAAGGUGUGCUAAUACCGCAUAUGGUCUUCGGAUUAAAGGAUUUAUCCGCUUUGGGAGUGGCCCGCGUACGAUUAGAUUGUUGGUGAGGUAAUGGCUCACCAAGUCGACGAUCGUUAACUGGUCUGAGAGGAUGAUCAGUCAGACUGGAACUGAGACACGGUCCAGACUCCUACGGGAGGCAGCAGUAAGGAAUCUUCCACAAUGGGCGAAAGCCUGAUGGAGCAACGCCGCGUGCAGGAUGAAGGCCCUCGGGUCGUAAACUGCUUUUAUGAGUGAAGAAUAUGACGGUAACUCAUGAAUAAGCACCGGCUAACUACGUGCCAGCAGCCGCGGUCAUACGUAGGGUGCAAGCAUUAUCCGGAGUGACUGGGCGUAAAGAGUUGCGUAGGUGGUUUGUUAAGUGAAUGGUGAA
rnacentral:rRNA from 1 species